UUAUCUUUGCGCUGCAUUGGUUUGCAAUCCUCUUUCGGGAAAGCAAUUAAAAGGGAAUCAGGUGAGAAUCCUGAACAGUCCCGCUGCUGUAAGUUUCGUGAAGUGUGACAGGCACAUACCUCUUAAGCCACUGGAUACGUCCGGGAAGGCGUCUGCCACAGAAACAAGUCAGAAGACCUGCCAUGCAACACACUUUAUC
rnacentral:ncRNA from 2 species